UGGUCAGCGGUGCGACAGCCG
rnacentral:misc_RNA from 1 species